AGAGUUUGAUCAUGGCUCAGGACGAACGCUGGCGGCGUGCUUAAUACAUGCAAGUCGAGCGAGGUUACUGUGACAGAUCCCUUCGGGGUGAAGUUGCUUUAACCUAGCGGCGGACGGGUGAGUAACGCGUGGGUAACCUACCCUAAAGUUCGGGAUAACAGCGGGAAACCGCUGCUAAUACCGGAUGCCUUUACCGUGUGGCAUCACAGGGUAAAGAAAGGUAACGCUUUAGGAUGGGCCCGCGUCCCAUUAGCUAGUUGGUGAGGUAACAGCUCACCAAGGCGACGAUGGGUAGCCGGCCUGAGAGGGUGGACGGCCACACUGGGACUGAGACACGGCCCAGACUCCUACGGGAGGCAGCAGUAGGGAAUAUUGCGCAAUGGACGGAAGUUUGACGCAGCGACGCCGCGUGAGCGAUGAAGGCCUUCGGGUUGUAAAGCUCUGUCCUUGGGGAAGAAGGUCUUCGGACUUGACGGUACCCAAGAAGAAAGCCCCGGCUAACUACGUGCCAGCAGCCGCGGUAAUACGUAGGGGGCGAGCGUUGUCCGGAAUUACUGGGCGUAAAGGGUGCGUAGGCGGCCCUUUAAGUCAGAUGUGAAAGCCCGCAGCUUAACUGCGGAAUUGCAUUUGAAACUGGAGGGCUUGAGUGUCGGAGAGGGUAGUGGAAUUCCCAGUGUAGCGGUGAAAUGCGUAGAUAUUGGGAGGAACACCAGUGGCGAAGGCGACUGCCUGGACGAUAACUGACGCUGAGGCACGAAAGCUAGGGGAGCAAACAGGAUUAGAUACCCUGGUAGUCCUAGCCGUAAACGAUGGGUACUAGGUGUAGGUGGUUUCGAUACCAUCUGUGCCGUAGUUAACGCAUUAAGUACCCCGCCUGGGGAGUACGUGCGCAAGCAUGAAACUCAAAGGAAUUGACGG
rnacentral:rRNA from 1 species